GUGGCUAGCAGGGUGGCUGGUGGAGAGGUGCAGCAAUUGGCUGUUGGAGUGACGAGCAAGUGCCUGAGCAGCAGAGCUUAUAAGGUGCAUCCAAUAAGAGAAGCAGCAAACAGCUUCCUGGUGGCCUAGGGGCUCACUUCUAGCCACGCAGGACAAACCUCUCCUUAAUGCAGACUCAUCCUAAGGAUUAUUGGGAUGUAGCCAUAGGAACUCUGGUGUUUCCUGUCUGAUUGUACCAUCCUGGUGCACAUAUAGGAGCAUUUAAGAGACAAGA